GAGUUUGAUCAUGGCUCAGGAUGAACGCUAGCGGCAGACUUAAUACAUGUGAGUCGAGGGGCAGCGGAUCCCUCCGGGGAUGCCGGCGACCGGCGAACGGGUGAGUAACACGUAUGGAACCUACCCUUAACUGGGGAAUAGCCUUGAGAAAUCGAGGGUAAUGCCCCAUAUUAUCAUAAAAGGACAUCCUUUUUUGAUGAAAGCUCAGGCGGUUAGGGAUGGUCAUGCGGUCCAUUAGCUUGUUGGUGAGGUAAGUGCUCACCAAGGCUGCGAUGGAUAGCUGAUCUGAGAGGAUGAUCAGCCACAUUGGCACUGAGACACGGGCCAAACUCCUACGGGAGGCAGCAGUAGGGAAUCUUGGUCAAUUGGCGAAAGCCAGAACCAGUCAUGCCGCGUGCAGGAUGAAGGCCCUAAGGGUCGUAAACUGCUUUUAUUCGGGAAGAAGAAGUCUGUUUCCACAGACCUUGACGGUACCGAUUGAAUAAGGACCGGCCAACUCCGUGCCAGCAGCCGCGGUAAUACGGAGGGUCCAAGCGUUAUCCGGAUUCACUGGGUUUAAAGGGUGCGCAGGCGGCUAAGUAAGUCAGUGGUGAAAGCCUUCGGCUCAACCGGAGAAUUGCCAUUGAAACUACUUAGCUUGAGUGCAGUAGAGGUAGGCGGAAUGUAGCAUGUAGCGGUGAAAUGCUUAGAUAUGCUACAGAACACCGAUAGCGAAAGCAGCUUACCAUAUUGCAACUGACGCUGAGGCACGAAAGCAUGGGUAGCAAACAGGAUUAGAUACCCUGGUAGUCCAUGCCGUAAACUUUGAACACUCGGAGUUUGUCGCCUAGCGAUAAGCUCCCUAGCGAAAGCGUUAAGUGUUCCACCUGGGGAGUACGGCCGCAAGGCUAAAACUCAAAGGAAUUGACGGGGGCCCGCACAAGGCGGAGGAGCAUGUGGUUUAAUUC
rnacentral:rRNA from 1 species